GGAAUACCGGUGGGGAAGGGGGCCCCCUGGACAAAGACUGACGCUCAGGUGGGGAAAGGCGGGGGGAGCAAACAGGAUUAGAUACCCUGGUAGUCCACGGCUGUAAACGAUGUCGAUUUAGAGGUUGGGGUCUUGAACCGUGGCUUCUGGAGCUAACGCGUUAAAUCGACCGCCUGGGGAGUACGGCCGCAAGGUUAAAACUCAAAUGAAUUGACGGGGGCCCGCACAAGCGGUGGAGCAUGUGGUUUAAUUCGAUGCAACGCGAAGAACCUUACCUACUCUUGACAUCCAGAGAAUCCUUUAGAGAUAGAGGAGUGCCUUCGGGAACUCUGAGACAGGUGCUGCAUGGCUGUCGUCAGCUCGUGUUGUGAAAUGUUGGGUUAAGUCCCGCAACGAGCGCAACCCUUAUCCUUUGUUGCCAGCGCGUAAUGGCGGGAACUCAAAGGAGACUGCCGGUGAUAAACCGGAGGAAGGUGGGGAUGACGUCAAGUCAUCAUGGCCCUUACGAGUAGGGCUACACACGUGCUACAAUGGCAGAUACAAAGAGAAGCGACCUCGCGAGAGCAAGCGGAACUCAUAAAGUCUGUCGUAGUCCGGAUUGGAGUCUGCAACUCGACUCCAUGAAGUCGGAAUCGCUAGUAAUCGUAGAUCAGAAUGCUACGGUGAAUACGUUCCCGGGCCUUGUACACACCGCCCGUCACACCAUGGGAGUGGGUUGCAAAAGAAGUAGGUAGCUUAACCUUCGGGAGG
rnacentral:rRNA from 1 species